GCAUCCUACGGGAGGCAGCAGUGGGGAAUAUUGCACAAUGGGGGAAACCCUGAUGCAGCAACGCCGCGUGAGUGAAGAAGUAUUUCGGUAUGUAAAGCUCUAUCAGCAGGGAAGAAGAUGACGGUACCCGAGUAAGAAGCCCCGGCUAACUACGUGCCAGCAGCCGCGGUAAUACGUAGGGGGCAAGCGUUAUCCGGAUUUACUGGGUGUAAAGGGAGCGUAGACGGUGAGACAAGUCUGAAGGGAAAGCCCGG
rnacentral:rRNA from 1 species